rnacentral:tRNA from 1 species
GAGGGCGCCAUAAGACCUGCUA